rnacentral:rRNA from 1 species
GAUGAACGCUGGCGGCGUGCCUAAUACAUGCAAGUCGAGCGAACAGACGAGGAGCUUGCUCCUCUGAUGUUAGCGGCGGACGGGUGAGUAACACGUGGAUAACCUACCUAUAAGACUGGGAUAACUUCGGGAAACCGGAGCUAAUACCGGAUAACAUGUUGAACCGCAUGGUUCAACAGUGAAAGACGGUUUUGCUGUCACUUAUAGAUGGAUCCGCGCCGCAUUAGCUAGUUGGUAAGGUAACGGCUUACCAAGGCAACGAUGCGUAGCCGACCUGAGAGGGUGAUCGGCCACACUGGAACUGAGACACGGUCCAGACUCCGACGGGAGGCAGCAGUAGGGAAUCUUCCGCAAUGGGCGAAAGCCUGACGGAGCAACGCCGCGUGAGUGAAGAAGGUCUUCGGAUCGUAAAACUCUGUUAUUAGGGAAGAACAAAUGUGUAAGUAACUAUGCACGUCUUGACGGUACCUAAUCAGAAAGCCACGGCUAACUACGUG